UACGUAGGAGGCAAGCGUUGUCCGGAAUUACUGGGCGUAAAGGGCGCGCAGGCGGCUCUGAAAGUCAGAUGUGAAAGCCUCGGGCUUAACCUGAGAACUGCAUUUGAUACUCUGGAGCUUGAGUACGGGAGAGGAUAGUGGAAUUCCCAGUGUAGAGGUGAAAUUCGUAGAUAUUGGGAAGAACACCGGUGGCGAAGGCGGCUAUCUGGACCGUAACUGACGCUGAGGCGCGAAAGCGUGGGGAGCAAACAGG
rnacentral:rRNA from 1 species